GAGGGUAUAGCUCAGUGGUAGAGCGUGUGCUUAGCAUGCGUGGGGUCCUGGGUUUAACCCCCAGUACCUCCC
rnacentral:tRNA from 1 species